rnacentral:rRNA from 1 species
GUAGGCGGUUAGUUAAGUGAAUAGUGAAACCUGGUGGCUCAACCAUACAGACUAUUAUUCAAACUGGCUAACUCGAGAAUGGUAGAGGUCACUGGAAUUUCUUGUGUAGGAGUGAAAUCCGCAGAUAUAAGAAGGAACACCAAUGGCGUAGGCAGGUGACUGGACCAUUUCUGACGCUAAGGCACGAAAGCGUGGGGAGCGAACCGGAUUAGAUACCCGGGUAGUCCACGCUGUAAACGAUGGAUACUAGCUGUGGGGGGUAUCGACCCCUUCCGUAGCGAAGCUAACGCGUUAAGUAUCCCGCCUGUGGAGUACGGCCGCAAGGCUAAAACAUAAAGGAAUUGACGGGGACCCGCACAAGCGGUGGAUCGUGUUCUUUAAUUCGAUGAUAAACGGAGAACCUUACCAGGACUUGACAUCCUUGGGAUUUCUGCGAAAGCAGUUAGUGCCUUUUGGAACCAAGUGACAGGUGAUGCAUGGCCGUCGUCAGCUCGUGUCGUGAGAUGUUUGGUUAAGUCCAUCAACGAGCGCAACCCUUAUAUUUAGUUGAAUUUUUCUAAAUAGACUGCCCCGGUAACGGGGAGGAAGGGGGGGNAUGAUGUCNNGUCAGUNUUUCCCUUACNUCCUGGGCUANAAACACGAUACANUGGCUAGUACAAUGCGCA